GGCACAAUGGCGCAGCCUGUAUACCAAGCUACUCAGGAGGCCGAGGCAGAAGGAUCACUUGAGCCCAGGAGUUCUGGGCUAUAGGUGUGAUUAGGUGUUGGCAGCAGGUUCAGCAUUAAUAUGGGAGCUGGGAACCACCCUGUCGUUUAAAGUUGGGAGGGGAUGUGAACUAAUCCAGGUUGGAAAACAGACCAGGUCAAAACUCCUGUGCUGAUCAUAGUGGG
rnacentral:sRNA from 1 species